GAUGAACGCUGGCGGCGUGCCUAAUACAUGCAAGUCGAGCGAACAGACGAGGAGCUUGCUCCUCUGACGUUAGCGGCGGACGGGUGAGUAACACGUGGAUAACCUACCUAUAAGACUGGGAUAACUUCGGGAAACCGGAGCUAAUACCGGAUAAUAUAUUGAACCGCAUGGUUCAAUAGUGAAAGACGGUUUUGCUGUCACUUAUAGAUGGAUCCGCGCCGCAUUAGCUAGUUGGUAAGGUAACGGCUUACCAAGGCAACGAUGCGUAGCCGACCGGAGAGGGUGAUCGGCCACACUGGAGCUGAGACACGGUCCAGACUCCUACGGGAGGCAGCAGUAGGGAAUCUUACGCAAUGGGCGAAAGCCUGACGGAGCAACGCCGCGUGAGUGAUGAAGGUCUUCGGAUCGUAAAACUCUGUUAUUAGGGAAGAACAAAUGUGUAAGUAACUAUGCACGUCUUGACGGUACCUAAUCAGAAAGCCACGGCUAACUACGUG
rnacentral:rRNA from 1 species